CCCUUAGAUGUCCGGGGCUGCACGCGCGCUACACUGAAGGAAUCAGCGUGCUAAAACCAUUGUCGAAAGGCAUUGGUAAACCCAUUAAAAUCCUACGUGAUUGGGAUCGGGAAUUGCAAUUAUUUCCCUUGAACGAGGAAUUCCCAGUAUGUGUGGGUCAUAAGCUCGCGUUGAUUACGUCCCUGCCCUUUGUACACACCGCCCGUCGCUGCCCGGGACUGAGCCGUUUCGAGAAAAGCGGGGACUGCUGCUGUCGGGGCUUUCGGGCCUUGGCUUCGGUGGAAACCGCUUUAAUCGCAGUGGCUUGAACCGGGCAAAAGUCGUAACA
rnacentral:rRNA from 1 species